GACGAACGCUGGCGGCGUGCUUAACACAUGCAAGUCGAGGGCACUAUUGGGGCAACCUGGUAGUGACCGGCGAACGGGUGCGUAACACGUGAGCGACCUUGCCUCGUGGUGGGGGAUAGCCGGCCCAACGGCCGGGUAAUACCGCAUAUGGUAGUUUCUUCGCAUGAGGAGACUAGCAAAGCCUUGGAGCAAUCCAAUGGCGCCACAGGGGGGGCUCGCGGCCUAUCAGCUAGUUGGGGGGUAAUGGCCCACCAAGGCGACGACGGGUAGCUGGUCUGAGAGGAUGGCCAGCCACAUUGGGACUGAGAGACGGCCCAGACUCCUACGGGAGGCAGCAGUGGGGAAUCUUGCGCAAUGGCCGAAAGGCUGACGCAGCGACGCCGCGGUGGGGGAGGAAGGCC
rnacentral:rRNA from 1 species